rnacentral:lncRNA from 1 species
GGCCACCUCACUGCGUUGUUGUGAGGUCUGAGGGAGGUGACGCAUGGAAGGAAUUUCAAAACGCACCUGACGCAUGGGUAGGUGGCCACUGGCAGUCUCACCUCCGUGCUCUUCUGGCACCAGAACCUUCAGCUCCAAAUUGUUAAGUCUGAGGGGAGACAUAUUGGUCCAGCUUGGGAAUCAUGAUGUCCUUCGACCAAUCCCACCCAGGAGAAUUGGAUACUGUGAUGGCUCAAGUCCCGGAUGUGGAGGUGAAUAGCAGAAGAGGGGAGACUGGAAAGCUUGUGCAUCAGAGAAACAGUCCUGUUCUGUAGCCCUGGGCCCACUCCUUCCUGCAUCCAGGGCCUGGCUGCUCAUACUGUUGACUCAGUUCUGAACUGAUGUCUCCAUGGACUCUGCACCUGAUUCCAGAUCAUUAAAGCCCACGUACUUGCUUGAGCUCAGGUGCGAUUCUAACUGUUUUGAAACUCUCUUCUGGAAAUCAUAUUGAAAUAAUUGUGAUCACGUGAUCCAUCACACAUUAACCCAAGUUAGCACCUUUCUACCUCCUUGUAUAAAAGUGUCAAAUCUCUGGGUGAAUGUUUCACAAAAUGCCCAUGUAUAAGAUCAAGCAUGUCUAAUUCGAACUACCUGUGGGAAGGACAAUCUGGAUUAGAAAAACAUCGGAAUCCUGAUUUAUAUUUUAAGUAAUUCAAGUUUCUGUGUUACUGAUUAGGGUUCUAGCGACAGACAGACAAAAGCCACUCUGGGUGGUCUCGGUAGAAAUGACUUAUUAGGAAGUCUAGCUAGCCCACAGGAUGGUGAGGAUAGCUGAAGAGACUGUCUUGUGGCUCUACUCCAGGAAUGACUCCCAAGACCACAUUGUAGGACUCGGCUGCCAACGGAGCUGCUGCGUCCCCAUGGUCAGAAAGCAGCUGGAUGAGGACGCCACCUGCCCCGGCUCCUGGCUCCACAACUGAACCAGCUCUGCCAGGAUCUGUCAGCAAAACGGACGCAUGGCGCCUCUCUCUCUCCGUGUAAUGCCUUCCCAAGUUAAAGUCUCACGCAAGCACCUUUUCCUCUGUGCAAUUUCACUCUCAGUCAAGGUCGUGUGCAAGUACACGUGACUGUUGGACUAAGUCACACCUGGAACUCGAGCUGCAAGGGAGUUUAGGCGAGUCCGCGUGGAGCUUUCCAGCCUCUGUGCAGUAGACGGGGUUGGGCUUGGAACAGAUGUUGAAUGAGCAUCUUCUCUGGCUUCCCCUAAUCCUCACAGAGAGAAGAUGCUUGAUAAAUGUGUGUGAAUGUUUGCGUGUGUGUGCGCGCGCUAUAGACUGAAUGUUUGUUCCCCCCCUCAAUUCAUAUAUUAAAUCCCAGUGCCCAAGGUGAUAGUAUUUAGAGGUGGGGCCUUUGGGAGGUGAUUAGGUCAUGGGUGUGGACCUUCAUGAAGGGCAUUAGUGCCUUCAUAAAAGAGACCCCAGGGGCUGGCUCUGUGGCCGAGUGGUUAAGUUCACACACUGUGUUUCAGCGGCCCAGGAUUUCGCGGGUUCAGAUCCUGGGUGCAGACAUAGCACUGCUCAUCUAAGCCAUGCUGAGGCGGCGUCCCACAUAGCACAACCAGAGGUGCUCACAACUAGAAUAUACAACUAUGUACUGGGGGGCUUUUGUGGAGAAGAAGAAGAAGAAGAAGAAAAAGAAGAUUGGCAACAGAUGUUAGCUCAGGUGCCAAUCUUAAAAAAAAAAGAGAGACUCCAGGUCCUUCCACCAUGUAAGGACGCAGUGAGAAGAUGGUCAUUAGUGAACCAGAAAGCUGGCUCUCACUACGUACUGAAUCUGCCAGCCUUGGACUUCCCAGCCUCCAGAACUGUGAGAAAUAAAUUUCUGUUGUUUAG